UACAAGUUACCACCACUGAAAAACAGAAGAAAAUGGAGAAAAAAAGAAGAAGAAGAAAAACCCAGAGAUACUUCUUCCAAAAUUUACAGUCUUACUAUUUAAGACUGGCAAAAGCAAUCUUUGAUGAAAGAAGUUGAUCCCAAACUGUAGCCUGUUUGAGAAUUACCUGGAAGGCUUGUUAAAACCUGUUAAAAGCCCAGCCCCAGAAUUUCUGGUUCAGUAAGUGUGCUUCUCUCAGAGGUCCUCAAGUGAUGCUUAUGUUGCUGAUCCAGGGACCACACUUUACAAACCACCGUGGUAGGUUAAUGGGCACUGGUUUCCCUAACACUAACUCCUCCAUUCCUCCUCUUUCCAACCGAGAUGGUAACAGGCCCUUCUUUGUAAUAAAGAUUAGGCAAUAACUCCCUGAUUUUGAGACACAGAAGGAAUUGCUGAAUAUAGGAAGGGGGCCUGCCAUUGUUGGAGACUUCUAGUUCUACAAGAAACAAGUUUGGCCUCUGAAGACAGACUGUAGAUUUGUGAAGAGUAUUCCUGCAGAAACCCCCUCUCCCAGCCACAAUUCACCAAGAGGAUGCCUUCUAAUCUCCAAACCCUUGAAUGAUGUAAAGAAUACAAAAACAGGGGAGGGGAGAAGGUCCCACUGUAGUGGGAAUUCUGAAUAUUGCUGAGAAAAUUGUGAAAGUAGAUGGAGAUUAUCUGGGGAACUCACAGAUGAAAUUCUGGGUGGCUCCGUGCCAGAAAAAAUAACCCAUUACAAUUAAAAACAAGUUAAAUCAAACUGUCUGGGCUUAAUUGAGCCUACUCUGAAAGUUUCUCUUCAACAAACAUGGUGCUUUCAGUAGGUGAGAAUGAAAUUGUCCAGUCCCUUGAAACUAAUUUAAACCCCCACCUCUUCCACCCUUCAGGCAAGGGAUGCAAGGCUUUUUCUGAGUGAGUGGAUGUUGCAAAGUGAAGAGGACAAUUCCAGGGAUUCAAAAUAUCACCCAACUCAUACACAAGGCAAUACCUACUUGUAGCCAACCAAUAUCAGACUUUGUUAUAAUUGCAAGGGCUAGUUCCAUGGAGAUGCUACAGAACUAGCAGCACAUAUGUGAUUGCAAAACCUAGUGCUGACAUUGUACUAACACACAUACACACACAACUCUAGAGCAAUGUCUGAAAACUAACUUGGGACAGUUGGGAAAAUGGUUUCCAGAAAAAUCUCAGGAGACCUGAAACAUCUAUGCAGAUAAUCAGUACCUACCACUUAAAAACUCAUCUUAUCCUUCUUGUUCACGUCUUAUUUCUCUUUAUUGUUUUCAAGUCCUGCUUUAUAUUAAUCCAAUGACAUCUGUGCAAAGGAGUCAGAGGAGUCAUAGGGAGUGAAAGGUGGCCAGGAAGACAGCAAUGCUCAAAGGCCACUUGGACUUGGCUUGAGCCCACAUCUCCCCUGAGGCCUCUAUUCAUGCCCAUACUCCUUAGAUUCUGAGCACAUGCAUGAACAGGCAGACAAACGCUAAAGGCCAUAAAUAAGCUAAGAUUAAUAAAAUUUUUUAGAGGAAAUGGAGAAGAGUGAGAGAAAGCUGCAUGUCUUCAAAAUCAGAGAAGCAAAUAAACAGAACUGUUCUGCCAAUGUUUGCUUUCCCCUCUGGCUGUCAGAGGUUGCAGCCCAGGCCUGAACUUGCCGGGACGAGGGUGGCUCUUGGUGGCUCAGCCUGUGUCCAGAGGAUUUGUCGAUUAGUCACAAACUUGGUCUCCCUGUGUGUCUGAGAAAGAGCCAUGACUCAUCUUGACAACUGUCAGUAUAUUACCUCAAAUGGGCACAGGGAGAGAUGAGCAACCUGGUGCCGGAAAAGAACACAAAAGGGCUGAUGCCACUUCCUGCAGUAUUUCAAGGUUUGGGCUAGAAGAGUUUAUGUGGCAAGAAUGCUAAGCUGGGAGCAGCCCCGCAGAAAAUGACCGCGUCAGCACACUCAACAUCCUGCCAUUCAGACGUAAGAACGGGCGAUGUUAGCUCAGAGGACAUGAAAUUUAUUUCCAUAAAUAAAAAUGUUAUGUUUCUUCACAUUAUUCACUUUCCCCAAACAGAAAUUCACACUUCAAAAAAUUAGCUUUUGGUUUUAGAAUUCAGUCAAUUCUGCAUACUCGACUCUAAUAUUAUGAUUUUUAAAAAUGUACAUCUACGACCCAGCAAUUCCACACUUAGGAAUAUUCCCAAGAGAACUGCGUAUAUGUGUUCACUGGAAGAUAUGCAUUAGAAUGGCUCUAGCAGCAUUAUUCAUAAUAGCUCUAAAUUGGAAAUUCUCCAAUUGCACAUCAACAGUGGAACGGAUAAAUGAUUAGUGUAUAUUCAUGCCAUUGAACUACUACACAGCAAUGAGAAUCUAUAACCACAUACAAUGAUAUGGAUGAAUUCCAUAAACACAGCUUUCAGGAAAAGAACCCAGACACUAGAGAUUCACCUCAUAUAAAAAUAAAAAUAAGCAAAACUAACCUAUUCUGCCAGAGGUCAGGAGAGAGAUUACACUUGGUCAAGGUGGAAGGAGAGGAAAAGUUUCAGGAAGGAGGGGCUGAAAAAGCUGCUUCUAGUUCUCGAUGUUGGUUAUACAUACAUUCAGUUUGUAAAAGC
rnacentral:lncRNA from 1 species